rnacentral:misc_RNA from 1 species
AACUGAUACUACCUGCGGGAACCUGCGGAGGGAUCAUUACAAGUUGAGGGGGCCACGCGGCCGGUCCGCCGGCCGAAGCCCCCGAACCCCUUCCACCCUUGUCCACACAUACCUCUUGUUGCCUCGGCGGGCUCGCCCGCCGGAGGAACCACACCAAAAACUCUUGUUGUUAAACGGCGUUUGUCUGAGCUAUAGCAAAAGCAAUAGUUUAAAACUUUUAACAACGGAUCUCUAGAUCGG